GAUCGAAACAGAUCGAUGAUUCAUGGGACGCAGCGAGCAGCUUCUCCCUUGUCCGCGCGCGGCCUAGCCACGUUGCGCCGCCGCCGGCGACGUCCUCCUCUGUUUCGCCCGGCAGAUUGACCGCGCGUGGCUCCGCCCGCUCCGCCUUCUCCUUCGCGGCGGCGGCUCCAGGCGCAGGACCGCGUCGUCGUCGUCCGCUGCCACAGGAAGGGCGCCGCCGACCAGCCGUGUCCAGAGGAUGACGAUGAUCCCGAUUAGAACAAGAUCCCGGUCGGUACAACAUUCCAUGAUUAGAAGGUACUGGAGCCUGGAGGGAGAUAUAUUCAUAGAAGAUAUGCUUUUUGUUGCAUAGAGCAUUUCGGACAGUCGAUCUGAAAUUCUGAACCUGACGUACGCGAGGAAUCAGCAUCAAGUACCUGACGAAAGGGUUGCUUGCUUGACACUUGUCCAGUGAGCUUUCCGUUGAACUGUCUCAAUUGCUUCCCUCCUUUUCCCCAGCUUUUCUGUACUUCUUGCCAUGUCGUAUUCCUGCCUCAUCUUCUUCAGUUCUUCUCAUUUUUUUCUGAAUUCUGAAUCCACUGUUCCACUGUCAGUAGCUGCUCAGCAAAUCAGUACUUCUCGCGGCGCCAUUCUCCUCAUCUGUUUAGUUAGUUAAGUUAGCUAUCCAAACAGCUCAUUGCAGGUUAGUGACAGGAUCAAAUUGGACAUUUUUGGAUGAGGUUAAUGGAUUAAUUAAGAUGCUAGAAAUUAACAAGCUGUGCCAUGCAAU